rnacentral:rRNA from 1 species
GGCGGCGUGCCUAAUACAUGCAAGUAGAACGCUGAAGAGAGGAGCUUGCUCUUCUUGGAUGAGUUGCGAACGGGUGAGUAACGCGUAGGUAACCUGCCUGGUAGCGGGGGAUAAUAUGGAAACGAUAGCUAAUACCGCAUGAAAUUGCUUAUCGCAUGAUAAUUAAUUGAAAGAUGCAAUUGCAUCACUACCAGAUGGGCCUGCGUUGUAUUAGCUAGUUGGUGAGGUAACGGCUCACCAAGGCGACGAUACAUAGCCGACCUGAGAGGGUGAUCGGCCACACUGGGAUCUGAGACACGGCCCAGACUCCUACGGGAGGCAGCAGUAGGGAAUCUUCGGCAAUGGGGGGAACCCUGACCGAGCAACGCCGCGUGAGUGAAGAAGGUUUUCGGAUCGUAAAGCUCUGUUGUAAGAGAAGA